rnacentral:rRNA from 1 species
GACAGAGGAUGCAAGCGUUAUCCGGAAUGAUUGGGCGUAAAGCGUCUGUAGGUGGCUUUUUAAGUCCGCCGUCAAAUCCCAGGGCUCAACCCUGACAGGCGGUGGAAACUACCAAGCUGGAGUACGGUAGGGGCAGAGGGAAUUUCCGGUGGAGCGGUGAAAUGCGUAGAGAUUGGAAAGAACACCGAUGGCGAAGGCACUUUACUGGGCUAUUACUAACACUGAGAGACGAAAGCUAGGGUAGCAAAUGGG